rnacentral:misc_RNA from 1 species
AAGUCGUAACAAGGUUUCCGUAGGUGAACCUGCGGAAGGAUCAUUACAGAUGAGAGAGUGUGGGGGUGGAGUGGAUGGGUCGGGGGUAGCUGAAGAGCAUGCUGCGACUCGUCCAUGCACGCCCACAAUAUUUGCUCGGGUUGGGGGUGAUUGAAGUGCGGGUGUGUUGCAGUGAUAGUGUGCUUACAGUGUACUCGCUGCAGUGUACUCGCGUCAAUCUAUCUACCAACCAGAGACAUUCACGCGUGUUGUGUGUGACUGUGUAGUAUAUACUGUUCUAUUAUAGACAACUUUUAACAAUGGAUCUCUUGGCUCUU